GGUGAAGAUAAUUUUGUUUUUCUACAAUUUCAGAAGUGUUUGAGCUACAUAUGGAGGAGUUGCGUAGAAAGCAAGAGGAGAUUUCUAAGAAAGAUGGUGAAAUCAAAGUAUUGGAGGCUAUAAUACAAACACUCAGUAGAAAUGGCUCAACUGCCUCAGAAGAUUAAGCAGCAGAUAUGUUUAUCUGUUUUAGCUUGUGGAGCUGCCUUAGCAACCAUCAAGUGUCGCCGGAGGUUAUGCUAUGCUGUUAAACCAGAUGGAGAGCUUCAUCAAGCUCGAAUAUUCAUCAUGGGCAUCCAAGCUUCAGGAAUAUGAGCAAAUCUACCCUCUGUGAAUUUGUUUCUUUAGGUUGCUAUUCACAGCAUAAUCAUAAAAAAAGAUAUGCUACUCUUUGUAACCCAAAUUGGACAAUCUAUUUUUAAUAUAUAAGCCUGAAACAUAAUUGAUGUUAUCAA